UACGGAGGGUGCGAGCGUUGUCCGGAAUCACUGGGCGUAAAGGGCUCGUAGGCGGCCAACUAAGUCAGACGUGAAAUCCCUCGGCUUAACCGGGGAACUGCGUCUGAUACUGGAUGGCUUGAGGUUGGGAGAGGGAUGCGGAAUUCCAGGUGUAGCGGUGAAAUGCGUAGAUAUCUGGAGGAACACCGGUGGCGAAGGCGGCAUCCUGGACCAAUUCUGACGCUGAGGAGCGAAAGCCAGGGGAGCAAACGGG
rnacentral:rRNA from 1 species